UACAGAGGGUGCGAGCGUUAAUCGGAAUUACUGGGCGUAAAGCGCGCGUAGGCGGCUUUGCAAGUCGGGUGUGAAAUCCCCAGGCUUAACCUGGGAACUGCAUUCGAGACUGCAUUGCUAGAGUAUGGGAGAGGGAAGUGGAAUUUCCGGUGUAGCGGUGAAAUGCGUAGAUAUCGGAAGGAACAUCAGUGGCGAAAGCGGCUUCCUGGACCAGUACCGACGUCAGGCACGAAAGCGUGGGGAUCAAACAGG
rnacentral:rRNA from 1 species